UCUACAGGCUUAACACAUGCAAGUCGAGGGGCAUCAGGAAGAAAGCUUGCUUUCUUUGCUGGCGACCGGCGCACGGGUGAGUAACACGUAUCCAACCUGCCCUUUACUCGGGGAUAGCCUUUCGAAAGAAAGAUUAAUACCCGAUGGCAUAAUGAUUCCGCAUGGUUUCAUUAUUAAAGGAUUCCGGUAAAGGAUGGGGAUGCGUUCCAUUAGGUUGUUGGUGAGGUAACGGCUCACCAAGCCUUCGAUGGAUAGGGGUUCUGAGAGGAAGGUCCCCCACAUUGGAACUGAGACACGGUCCAAACUCCUACGGGAGGCAGCAGUGAGGAAUAUUGGUCAAUGGGCGCUAGCCUGAACCAGCCAAGUAGCGUGAAGGAUGAAGGCUCUAUGGGUCGUAAACUUCUUUUAUAUAAGAAUAAAGUGCAGUAUGUAUACUGUUUUGUAUGUAUUAUAUGAAUAAGGAUCGGCUAACUCCGUGCCAGCAGCCGCGGUAAUACGGAGGAUCCGAGCGUUAUCCGGAUUUAUUGGGUUUAAAGGGAGCGUAGGUGGACUGGUAAGUCAGUUGUGAAAGUUUGCGGCUCAACCGUAAAAUUGCAGUUGAUACUGUCAGUCUUGAGUACAGUAGAGGUGGGCGGAAUUCGUGGUGUAGCGGUGAAAUGCUUAGAUAUCACGAAGAACUCCGAUUGCGAAGGCAGCUCACUGGACUGCAACUGACACUGAUGCUCGAAAGUGUGGGUAUCAAACAGGAUUAGAUACCCUGGUAGUCCACACAGUAAACGAUGAAUACUCGCUGUUUGCGAUAUACAGUAAGCGGCCAAGCGAAAGCAUUAAGUAUUCCACCUGGGGAGUACGCCGGCAACGGUGAAACUCAAAGGAAUUGACGGGGGCCCGCACAAGCGGAGGAACAUGUGGUUUAAUUCGAUGAUACGCGAGGAACCUUACCCGGGCUUAAAUUGCAGUGGAAUGAUGUGGAAACAUGUCAGUGAGCAAUCACCGCUGUGAAGGUGCUGCAUGGUUGUCGUCAGCUCGUGCCGUGAGGUGUCGGCUUAAGUGCCAUAACGAGCGCAACCCUUAUCUUUAGUUACUAACAGGUUAUGCUGAGGACUCUAGAGAGACUGCCGUCGUAAGAUGUGAGGAAGGUGGGGAUGACGUCAAAUCAGCACGGCCCUUACGUCCGGGGCUACACACGUGUUACAAUGGGGGGUACAGAAGGCAGCUAGCGGGUGACCGUAUGCUAAUCCCAAAAGCCUCUCUCAGUUCGGAUCGAAGUCUGCAACCCGACUUCGUGAAGCUGGAUUCGCUAGUAAUCGCGCAUCAGCCACGGCGCGGUGAAUACGUUCCCGGGCCUUGUACACACCGCCCGUCAAGCCAUGGGAGCCGGGGGUACCUGAAGUACGUAACCGCAAGGAUCGUCCUAGGGUAAAACUGGUGACUGGGG
rnacentral:rRNA from 1 species